rnacentral:sRNA from 1 species
UGGGGUGGUAAGGGGAGCGGGGACUUGGAGGCAGCCACCUGUUCUUGGGUCCCUGCUCUGCCACAGGGGAUCCCUUGUGGGUGGGGCGGCCUCUGCCUCUUCCCUGGGUGGAAAGAGAAUUUAGGAAUCUGAGUGACAUGUGCUUUCUUCCCCAGGUUCCAGAAGCGGCGACUAGAUAAAGUCCGACGGAAAAAGGAGGAAAAGGCGGCAGACAGGCUGGAGCAGGAGUUGCUCCGAGACACGGUGAAGUUUGGUGAGGUUGUCC